GAUGAACGCUGGCGGCGUGCCUAAUACAUGCAAGUCGAGCGAACAGACGAGGAGCUUGCUCCUCUGACGUUAGCGGCGGACGGGUGAGUAACACGUGGAUAACCUACCUAUAAGACUGGGAUAACUUCGGGAAACCGGAGCUAAUACCGGAUAAUAUAUUGAACCGCAUGGUUCAAUAGUGAAAGACGGUUUUGCUGUCACUUAUAGAUGGAUCCGCGCCGCAUUAGCUAGUUGGUAAGGUAACGGCUUACCAAGGCAACGAUGCGUAGCCGACCUGAGAGGGUGAUCGGCCACCCUGGAACUGAGACACGGUCCAGACUCCUACGGGAGGCAGCCGUAGGGAAUCUUCCGCAAUGGGCGAAAGCCUGACGGAGCAACGCCGCGUGAGUGAUGAAGGUCUUCGGAUCGUAAAACUCUGUUAUUAGUGAAGAACAAAUGUGUAAGUAACUAUGCACGUCUUGACGGUACCUAAUCAGAAAGCCACGGCUAACUACGUG
rnacentral:rRNA from 1 species